rnacentral:hammerhead_ribozyme from 1 species
AUCCGGCUGACGAGUCCCAAAUAGGACGAAAAGCGUGCCCUGAAU